rnacentral:rRNA from 1 species
UGGGGAAUUUUGCAGAAUGGGGGAAACCCUGAUGCAGCGACGCCGCGUGAUUUAGAAGGCCUUCGGGUUGUAAAAAUCUUUUCUAUGGGAAGAAAAUGACAGUACCAUAGGAAUAAGGACCGGCUAAUUACGUGCCAGCAGCCGCGGUAAUACGUAAGGUCCGAGCGUUGUCCGGAAUCAUUGGGCGUAAAGGGUACGUAGGCGGGUAAGCAAGUUAGAAGUGAAAUCCUAUAGCUCAACUAUAGUAAGCUUUUAAAACUGCUCAUCUUGAGGUAUGGAAGGGAAAGUGGAAUUCCUAGUGUAGCGGUGAAAUGCGCAGAUAUUAGGAGGAAUACCGGUGGCGAAGGCGACUUUCUGGCCAUAACCUGACGCUGAGGUACGAAAGCGUGGGUAGCAAACAGG